AGCGAACGCUGGCGGCAGGCCUAACACAUGCAAGUCGAACGAAGUCUUCGGACUUAGUGGCGGACGGGUGAGUAACACGUGGGAACGUGCCUUUAGGUUCGGAAUAACUCAGGGAAACUUGUGCUAAUACCGAAUGUGCCCUUCGGGAGAAAGAUUUAUCGCCUUUAGAGCGGCCCGCGUCUGAUUAGCUAGCUGGGGAGGUAAAGGCUCACCAAGGCGACGAUCAGUAGCUGGUCUGAGAGGAUGAUCAGCCACAUUGGGACUGAGACACGGCCCAAACUCCUACGGGAGGCAGCAGUGGGGAAUCUUGCGCAAUGGGCGAAAGCCUGACGCAGCCAUGCCGCGUGAAUGAUGAAGGUCUUAGGAUUGUAAAAUUCUUUCACCGGGGACGAUAAUGACGGUACCCGGAGAAGAAGCCCCGGCUAACUUCGUGCCAGCAGCCGCCGCCGUAA
rnacentral:rRNA from 1 species